rnacentral:lncRNA from 1 species
GUCAAAUCAUGAUGUGGGGGGGGCGAGGUCAAAUCAUGAUGUGGGGGGGACAAGAGACGCCUCUGUGGAGACCCCUCUGUGGAGGUGGAGACCCCUCUGUGGAGGUGGAGACCCCUCUGUGGAGACCCCUCUGUGGCGGUGGAGACCCCUCUGUGGCGGUGGAGACCCCUCUGUGGAGGUGGAGACCCCUCUGUGGAGGUGGAGACCCCUCUGUGGCGGAUAUUGAUUCAGAUGUUUCUGGAGCCAUGACAUGAGAAAAUGUGUUUUUCAUUUUAUUUGUUUAUUAGGAUCCCCAUUAGCUAGCUAGGGGACAGCAAGUCUUACUGGGGAAACAACAUAUAAUGAAAAAUACUUUACAGACAAAUUACUUUACAGUUUAAAUACAUUUAAAAACAGUAACAUAUAAUGUGUGUGUAUUUAUCAGUGACACAUACAUGUCAGUACACACACAACCAGUAGGUCACAUGUCAGUACACACGACCAGUAGGUCACAUAUCAGUACACACACACACGACCAGUAGGUCACAUAUCAGUACACACACACACGACCAGUAGGUCACAUAUCAGUACACACAACCAGUAGGUCACAUGUCAGCAGCAGCACGGCCAGGUGGACUGGGGACAUGUCAGUACAUGUUCCAUGCACUCAUGGCUCUGGAUAAUACUGCACGUUUUCUUGAAUUUGUUCUGGAUUUGGGGACUGUGAAAAGACCCCUGGUGGCAUGUCUGGUGGGGUAAGUGUGUGUGUGUCAGUGCUGUGUGUGUAAGUUGACUAUGCAAACAAUUUGGAAUUUCCAACACAUGAAUGUUUCUUUAUAAAAAUAAAAAAAAACAGUUUCUCGACUCUUAGCCAAGAGAGACGCAUGUGUAGUAUUAAUAUCAGCCCUCUGAUUACAGUGAAGAGCCAAGACGGGCCGCUCUGUUCUGGACCAGCUGCAGCUUAACUAGGUCUUUGCAGCACUCGACCACACGACUGGACAAUAAUCAAGAUAAGAUAAAACUAGAGCCUGCAGAACUUGCUUUGUGGAGUGUGGUGUCAAAAAAGCAGAGCAUCUCUUUAUUACGGACAGACCUCAUUCCCCCAUCUUUACAACCAUUGAAUCUGUAUGUUUUGACCUUGUUGACAGUUUACAAUGUAAGGUAACAACAAGUAAUUUAGUCUCCUCAACUUGUUCAACAGCCACACCAUUCAUUACCAGAUU